GAUGAACGCUAGCGGCAGGCUUAAUACAUGCAAGUUGUGGGGCAGCAGGGGUGUAGCAAUACAUCUGCUGGCGACCGGCAAACGGGUGCGUAACACGUACGCAACCUUCCCGUUACUGUGGCAUAGCCCAGGGAAACUUGGAUUAAUACCACAUAUUAUAUAGAGAGGGCAUCCUUUUUAUAUCAAAGCUUCGGCGGUAACGGAUGGGCGUGCGGUUGAUUAGGUAGUUGGCGGGGUAACGGCCCACCAAGCCUACGAUCAAUAGCUGAUGUGAGAGCAUGAUCAGCCACACGGGCACUGAGACACGGGCCCGACUCCUACGGGAGGCAGCAGUAAGGAAUAUUGGGCAAUGGACGAAAGUCUGACCCAGCCAUGCCGCGUGAAGGAUUAAGGUCCUCUGGAUUGUAAACUUCUUUUCUCUGGGGCGAAAACCAGCUAUUCUUAGCUAUUUGACAGUACCAGAGGAAUAAGCACCGGCUAACUCCGUGCCAGCAGCCGCAGUAACAC
rnacentral:rRNA from 1 species